rnacentral:rRNA from 1 species
GACGAACGCUGGCGGCGUGCUUAACACAUGCAAGUCGAACGGUGAAGCUCCAGCUUGCUGGAGUGGAUCAGUGGCGAACGGGUGAGUAACACGUGAGCAACCUGCCCCAGACUCUGGAAUAAGCGCUGGAAACGGCGUCUAAUACUGGAUACGAGAUCAAGCCGCAUGGUUAUGGUCUGGAAAGUUUGUCGGUUUGGGAUGGGCUCGCGGCCUAUCAGCUUGUUGGUGAGGUAAUGGCUCACCAAGGCGACGACGGGUAGCCGGCCUGAGAGGGCGACCGGCCACACUGGGACUGAGACACGGCCCAGACUCCUACGGGAGGCAGCAGUGGGGAAUAUUGCACAAUGGGCGAAAGCCUGAUGCAGCGACGCCGCGUGAGGGAUGACGGCCUUCGGGUUGUAAACCUCUUUCAGCAGGGAAGAAGCGAAAGUGACGGUACCUGCAGAAGAAGCACCGGCUAACUACGUG